UCCCAGUGAUGAGUUGCCAUGCUAAUGCUGAGCCACCAGCCAGACUGUUCCUGCCUGGUUUGGGUGCCAGUGAGUUUAAUAAGACUUCUCACAUGGAGACCUGAGGGAC